rnacentral:tRNA from 1 species
GCCAGUGUGGCAUAGUGGUUUGAGUGUUGGAUUAUGACUCUGGAGACCCGGCUUCAAUUCCCUGCUCGGCG